rfam:Picea glauca, whole genome shotgun sequence.
CGACCCCAUCUCAAGCGAUAACACCCGCUAAGUUUAAGCAUAUAAUUAAACAGAGGAAAAGAAACUUACAAGGAUUCCCCUAGUAAUGGUGAGCGAACCGGGAAUAGCCCAGCAUGAAAAUCGGGUGGCAGCGUCACUUGAAUUGUAGUCUGUAGAAGCGUCCUUAGCAGCAGACCAGGCCUAAGUCCCCUGGAAGGGGGCGCCUGAGAGGGUGGCAUCCCAAUCGGGCCUGGACCCUACUACACAAUGAGGCAUUGUCAGCGAGCUGAGUUGUUUGGGAAUGCAGCCCUAAUCGAGUGGUAAAUUUUGUCCAAGGCUAAAUACAGGUGAGAGACCAAUAAAGAACAAGUACUGCGAGGGAAAGAUGAAAAGGACUUUGAAAAGAGAGUUAAAGAGUGCUUGAAAUUGCCUGGAGAGAAGCAGAUGGAGGCCUGCGAUGCGUCUCAAUCGAAUGCGGAACAACUCAAGUUGGUAUGUCACUCGACUUGAGGUGUGAACUAGCAUAGGCCGUUCCAUCAACAUAAGUGCAGGUGGAGUACUGCCUAUUGGUUUUUUGUUGUGGUGAUUAAGGAACGAAGUGUGCACCCUUGGGGCGGGCCACUGUGCACCUGCAUGCUUGUGGUGUUGGUUGGUGGGCUUUCCAUUCGACCUGUCUUGAAAUACGGACCAAGGAGUCUAACAUGGGUGUGAGUCAGUGGGUUUGUAAACCUACAAGGCAUAAGGAAGCUAACAGGUGAGAACCCCUCUCCAUGGGGUGCAUUGUCAAUCGACCUUGAACUUGUGUGAAGGGUUCGAGUGCAAGCACACCUAUUGGGACCUGAAAGAUGGUGAACUAUGCCUGAGUAGGGCAAAGCCAGAGGAAACUCUCGUGGAGGCCCGUAGAGAUACUGACGUGAAAAUCGUUCAUCUUACUUGGGUAUAGGUGUGAAAGACUAAUUGAAACAUCUAGUAGCUGGUUUCCUCCGAAGUUUCCCUUAGGAUAGAUGGAGCUCACAUGCAAGUUUUAUCAGGUAAAGAAAAUGAUUAAAGGCAUCGGGGGUGUAACACCCUCAACCUAUUCUCAAAAUUUAAAUAGGUAAGACGGUGUGGCUGCUCCAUUGAGCCAUGCCACAGAAUCGAGAGCUCCAAGUGGGCCAUUUCUGGUAAGAAGAACUGACAAUGCAGGAUGAACCGAAAGUCAAGUUAGGAUGCCAAACUAAACGCUAGCCCAGAUCCCACAAAGGGUGUUGGUUGAUUAAGACAGUAGGAUGGUGGUCAUGGAAGUUGAAAUCCGCUGAGUGUGUAACAACUUACCUGCCGAAUCAACUAGCCCCAAAAAUGGAUGGCACUGAAGCAUGCGACCUAUACUCGACCGUCAGAGCAAUUGUCAGGCUUUGAUGAGUAGGAGGAUGCAGGGGUCAUUGAGAAACCUUGGGCGUGAGCCUGAGUGGACCGGUCCCUGGUGCAGAUCUUGGUGGUAGUAGCAAAUAUUCAAAUGAGAACUUUGAAGACUGAAGUGGGGAAAGGUUCCAUGUGAACAAAACUUGGACAUGGGUUAGUCAAUCCUAAGAGAUGGGGAAGCCCUAUGUCAAGGGUGCCCUCUGCAUGAACAUCAAAAGGGAAUUGGGUUAAUAUUCCCAAACUGGGACAUGGUGGCGAACGACAACGUUAGGAAAUAUGGAGACGUUGUCGGGGGACCCGGGAAGAGUUAUCUUUUCUUUUUAACAACUUGCCCACCCUAAAAUCGUCUCAACCAGAGAUAGGGUCCAGCAGUUGGAAGAGCAUCGCACGUCUUGUGGUGUCCGGUGUGCCCUCGAUGGCCCUUGAAAAUAUGGAGGACCGAUUAUCGUCCAUGCCCAGUCAUACUCAUAACCACAUCAAGUCUCCAAGGUGAACAUCCUCUGGUCAACAUAACAAUGUAGUUAAGGGAAGAUGGCAAAACAGAUCCAUAACUUUGGGAAAAGGAUUGGUUCUGAGGGUUGGGCCUAGGGGUUUGCGUCCUCAACCCAUGGGCUAUCGGCAGUCUGCCCGAGCUGCUAUCACGACGAGGGUGGGAAGUCGCAUGUCGAUUGGGCUACGAAUGUAGAAUGUACUCUCAUAGUGGAUUUUCCCUAGGCAGCGAACAAUCGAAUAAAAAAUGGUACAGACAAGGGGAAUCCGACUAUUUAAUUAAAACAAAGAAUUGUGAUGGUCCCUGCGGAUGCUGACGUAAUGUGAUUUCUCCCUAGUGCUCUGAAUGUCAAAGUGAAGAAAUUCAACAAAGCACGUGUAAAUGGUGGGAGUAACUAUGACUCUCUUAAGGUAGUCAAAUACCUCAUCAUCUAAUUAGUGACGUGCAUGAAUGGAUUAAUGAGAUUCACACUGUCCCUAUCUAAUAUCUAGCGAAACCACAACCAAGGGAACAGGCUUGGUAGAAUUAGCGGGGAAAGAAGACCCUGUUGAGCUUGACUCUAGUCCGACUUUGUGAAAUGACUUGAGAGGUGUAGAAUAAGUGGGAGCCAUUUUCGGCACAAGUGUAAUACCACUACUUUUAACAUUAUUUUACUUAUUUUGUGAGGCAGAGAUUGGGCAUUUCCCCUAUUUUUGGCCUUAAGACACAUUUCAACGAGUCGAUCGAAGUGGAAGACAUUGUCAGGUGGGGAGUUUGGCUGGGGCAGCACAUAUGUUAAAAGAUAACGCAAGUGUCCUAAGAUGAGCUCAACGAGAACAGAAAUCUCGUGUGGAACAAAAGGGUAAAAUCUUAUUUGAUUUUGAUUUUAGGUACGAAUACAAACCUUGAAAGCGUGGCCUAUUGAUCCUUUAGAAUUUCGGAAUUUGAAGAUAGAGGUGUCAGAAAAGUUACCACGGGGAUAACUGUCUUGUGGCAGCUAAGCAUUCAUAGCGACGUUGUUUUUUGAACCUUCGAUGUCGGCUCUUCCUAUCAUUGUGAAGCAAAAUUCACCAAGUGUUGGAUUGUUCACCCGCCAAUAGGGAACGUGAGUUGGGUUUAAACUGUCGCGAGACAGGUUAGUUUUACCCUACUGAUGAACCGCGCCGCAAUAGUAAUUCAACUUAGUAUGAGAGGAACCAUUGAUUCACACAAUUGGUCAUCGUGCUUGGUUGAAAAUCCAGUGGCGCAAAGCUACCAUGUGUCGGAUUAUGACUGAAAGCCUCUAAGUCAAAAUCCACGCUAGAAGUGGCACUUGUCACUCCUUGACUGUAUCUUGACCCGCGAUAGGGGUGUCGCUUUGGCACCCCCAAGGGCCUGUGUCACUUGCGAACCUCGACCGAGAAGCGUCUCGAUCAGGACAGCUUUGAAGUUCAAUUUCAAACGGUCAUUGAGAAGAAUCCUUUGCAAAUGACUUAAAUACACGAUGAGGUAUUGUAAGUGGCAGAGUGGCAUUGCUUCCAUGAUCCACUGAGAUUCAGCCCUUCAUCACCUCGAUUCAG